rnacentral:rRNA from 1 species
GAACGCGAAGAACCUUACCUGGGCUUGACAUACACCAGAUCGCCGUAGAGAUACGGUUUCCCUUUGUGGUUGGUGUACAGGUGGUGCAUGGUUGUCGUCAGCUCGUGUCGUGAGAUGUUGGGUUAGGUCCCGCAACGAGCGCAACCCUUGUCUUAUGUUGCCAGCACGUUAUGGUGGGGACUCGUGAGAGACUGCCGGGGUUAACUCGGAGGAAGGUGGGGAUGACGUCAAAUCAUCAUGCCCCUUAUGUCCAGGGCUUCACACAUGCUACAAUGGUCGGUACAACGCGUCUGCGAGCCUGUGAGGGUGAGCUAAUCGCUGUAAAGCCGGUCGUAGUUCGGAUUGGGGUCUGCAACUCGACCCCAUGAAGUCGGAGUCGCUAGUAAUCGCAGAUCAGCAACGCUGCGGUGAAUACGUUCCCGGGUCUUGUACACACC